UAUCAGUCAGUCAGUCAGUCAGUCAGUCUCAGUCAGUCUAUCAGUCAGUCAGUCAGUCAGUCAGUCAGUAUAUCAGUCAGUCAGUCAGUCAGUCAGUCAGUCAGUCUAUCAGUCAGUCAGUCAGUAUAUCAGUCAGUCAGUCAGUCUAUCAGUCAGUCAGUCUAUCAGUCAGUCAGUCAGUCUAUCAGUCAGUCAGUCAGUAUAUCAAUCAGUCAGUCAGUAUAUCAGUCAGUCAGUCAGUAUAUCAGUCAGUCAGUCAGUCUAUCAGUCAGUCAGUCAGUCAGUCAGUCAGUCUAUCAGUCAGUCAGUCAAUCAGUCAGUCAGUCAGUAUAUCAGUCAGUCAGUCAG